rnacentral:misc_RNA from 1 species
GAUGAAGAACGUAGCGAAACGCGAUAGGUAAUGUGAAUUGCAGAAUUCAGUGAAUCAUCGAGUCUUUGAACGCACAUUGCGCCCCCUGGUAUUCCGGGGGGCAUGCCUGUCCGAGCGUCAUUGCUGCCCUCAAGCACGGCUUGUGUGUUGGGCCUCCGUCCUCCUCCCGGGGGACGGGCCCGAAAGGCAGCGGCGGCACCGCGUCCGGUCCUCGAGCGUAUGGGGCUUCGUCACCCGCUCUUGUAGGCCCGGCCGGCGCUUGCCGACACAUCAAUCUUUUUUCCAGGUUGACCUCGGAUCAGGUAGGGAUACCCGCUGAACUUAAGCAUAUCAAUAAGCGGAGGA